GUGAGCUCACGGGGCUCAAACCAGAUGACGUUGCUAACACGAACCCUAGCAUGAGCCGUGCUUCGCAGAAUCUACCACCGAAUCGGAAACGCGACCAACUGAGAAGAUCCGGCGAGAAACUCAGUGGGCUGUGUCUGAGGGUUAAUUUACUCGUCGAACUCUUCGUCGCAAGCGACGUGACCGGUGCUUGAGGAACUUAGAAGCACCGUUAGUGGAUCGGGAGGAUCCGAAAUGACGUGUUGAGGCGACGUCGACUUUUUUCCAUUCUGUCCGCAGGAUCGGGAAUGAAAUACGCUCCUUGAAUUUUUGUGAAAAUUAAACGAUUUAGAGCAUUUAAAGCUAAAGAGAACGUCGGCACCAAUUAACAUAUUCCAUUCCAGGCGGUUCAUCAGACUGAGCGGUUUCGGUUUGAGAAAGUGUCAGCUGUAUUCGUGUGACAGCGCGGGCGGAAUGAGUUGCACCGAUACCAGUGUGCUUAGAGCGAGUAUUUUAACGUUCUCGAUCGCGUAAAAGUUAACUCAAAUUUCUAUGGAAUUGGAACAGAGCCCCUAACGGCAAACGAAGGGAGGCUAAGCACACUGGUCGAAAUUAAUUCCAGAAGCCGAGAUAUACGGUUGGUAUUUACGUUCUGAUGUAUACCAACUCUUUGUAAUAAAGGGGCAACCACAAGGAUGACCGUGACUACAUCUGCCCAUGCAGAACAAUAAAAAAGCGCGGUAGAAACAGACAUCACAACAGGAAGGUCAUAACUAGGGCUCACCAAACUAGAUAAUAGUGACGCGUUAUUGAUCCAUUUAACGGUUAAUAAUGAGACGAGGACGUGAGUCGAGUGUGGCGAGGUUGAGGUGAUAUUAUUAUAACCUUCGCCCUCACCGCAGCGCAAAGGUCAGACCCGGGAUUGUACAAUAUUAAUAUGCUAUAUCUCAUUUGAAAGUACGAAUGCGAUACAAGCGCUCGAGACCUGCGGAAAUUUACAAGCUAACUUUGGAAAUUAUUAAACAAAAAUAUUCUCAUUUUGAAACAUAAAUAAUGUUUAUCACUCCCUCCGAACGGAGGUAUCGUGAGAGCUUUUCGAUCAAAAAAUUAUACAAACAGUUUAUCUGGAAGCUAUGUAAUACUGGGAAUUAAAGUAUGAAAUUACCGUUCUAUUGUAAUAGGUACUUCUAAUUGACAUAGAACCUUUAUGUUUUGAGAUUUUUGAGUGAAACUUUUUUCAAAUGGUACCUAUGAGGUUCUUCUUUAAAAAAAUGUGCAAUGUUCGAUUAUCGACUUUCAGUUGUUUUUUUUUUUAUUCAGCUUGUCAAGAAAGAUGGAUAUGCUUCGAAAAUUCGAGUGAUUUUUGAAACGAGUUCCGACGCGAAACGAACGCUGCAGAAACCACUCGCAAUAUCAAUGAGAGAGUUAGCAUUUAUAUACCUAAUGCCUCUCUUUUGGGGCAUUAGGUACAUAAAUGCUGACUUAAUAAAUAAAAUAGAGUUCUUAAUAAACACUUCAAAUAUAAUCACAUAUAAUCACACUUUAAAUAUAACCAGCCGUAUCAGCUUCGAUGGUGGCAGGCUGCUGUUGUACAGUUUGUGCCCUGACUACAGGUGGGUUGACGUGCCCCACUGUCAUUUCCUUUUUUAGCCAGUUUCUGAUUUUCCGAUGGCAGUGAAUCCGCAUUCCGUAGCACAGAAUUACCGAUAAUAGUACCGCGAUAACUAUAAGCACCAUACCAAAAUUAUUGAUCUUGUUAUCGAGAUGUCCGGUGACAGCUUGCGCUUGGGCAAUAGCAGCGAUACUUUACUGAUACAGUUCGAACUCAAUUGAAUUUCUCUGGUCCAGGGACCUCAUGUGCGAGAACUGCGUUGCGCUGUCUAAUUAACUCAGAACAAUUCCCAUUAACACAAGUCACGUACCCCCGCCUAUUCAAUCACAAUACACAAAUACCUCGAGUUGAGGCGCGCUUGUGUUUCGGGAGACGACAUUUCAUUACGGAACAUGCAUUAUUAAUGUGGGAUAUAUCGCCGCUGGAAUGCUUUUGCCAUUUCACGACAUUACCUUGAGACUAAGGCCGUACUACAAAGCGGAAUACAGUCUCUGUGCUGAGAUUACGGGGGCUUUUUUGUCGUAAUUUAUUUCUUGUUCUCUAAACUAUACAAUAUGUCGGGGCAACGUCAUUAUUUAGUUAACUAAAAAUAGUUAUAGUUAGCUGUUUCCUUAAUGUUACGCAUGUCAACAAGUGUUUAAGACGGUAUUCAUGAGAAUUCAUGACUAAGAUACCCCUACUUUCUUUUACUAUAAAAACAAGUGACUAUUGUCGCACAAAACAUUCCGACUCGAGCAGCCGACCAAGGCGGAGCUCUCUGUUGUUAUCGUUGUACGCUUGAAAUGUAAUAAACAAAAUUCAUUGGAAAGCGCCAUCAACGUACCGAUAGCCCGCGACUAGUUUUACAACUGGGUGUAUUCCCAUUCAUCAUUCAGCGAUAGUCGCAGCGGAGCAUGGCCGCCUCCCACUGGUAUAAAUAUAAUGAUAAGGAAUAUCUCCAUUUGACCGCCAACUGUACUUUUUAUUUUGUAUUUAAUGUUUCGCAUAUUUUUUUUUGUGUACAAUAAAGAAUACCCUCUCUCUAUUUCAGAAUGAAUAAACAAUAAAAGACUUAAUUGUGUUUUCUGUGAUAUAAUAAGAAAACAAUAUUUAAGCCCCUUUUAAAAUUAAACAGUAAACAGCAUUAAUAAACUAUACAAAACUGA